CAGGUUAAGAACAGUUUCAGGUUAAGAACGGACCUCCGGAACGAAUUAAGUACUUAACCCGAAGUACCACUGUACACAAAUUAUAGCCAAAUUGAGCCAAAAAUAUGAAGGCAUACUGUAACACAACAUGGCAUUAGCUGCCUUUGACAUUCCUCUUGGAGUUGAUGCAAAUGACUUAUUGCCUGAUGUUGGUGUGCUUAAAAUAACACUCACUUUUCUGAAUCAUGGCUUGCAAAAUUAAAAAGCCACCAAAAAUACCAAUCAAUACAAUAUACUGUACUUAAUAGCUUCAAAAUGUAGAUUAGUCAUGCUUGUCUAAUCAGAGCUACUUUUCAAGGUGCAUUCUUGGAAAUGAAGAAAAGAAUAGAAUGUAUUUUUAAGAAAGUAGUGAAUGGAAUUUCUUAACCUAAGGUACUCUUACCUUAGGGCUUUUUUUUGGGGGGGGGUAGAAUCCAAAUAUCCUAACUGCCACUUAAAAGUUGUGUUAACUUACUAAUGGCUCACCAUAUGACUCUGGUGCUUUUUUCUCUCCAUACCACUGCAAAUGACUGGAAAUAAGAAAGAUUUACAACAGAGGUUCCUAAACCAUGGUCCGUAGACCUCCAGUGGUCCACAAGCUUCAUUCAGGUCCCACUUGUUUUAAAUGCAUUUACUGGGAUGUUCUAAGUGAUGGAUUGUCCAAAUUGGAGCUUCUUGCAUUGUAGGUUCAUAGCUGGAUGUUUUGGAAGCAAAGACAGGAAGACCAAAAGUAAUGUGUUAAAUCAGGUUCUCCAUUUUCACCAUCACUGAUGCUGAGCACAUGGGAAGCAGCUGCAUACCAGGUCAGAGUAUUUCACAGAAUCUUAGAAUUGUAGAGUUGGAAGGUAUCCCAAGGGUCAUCUAGUCCAAUGCCCUGCAAUGCCAGUAUUGCCUGCACUGGCUGGUAGUGGCUAUCCAGGGUCUUUCAUAUCACCUGCUACCUAAUCCCUUUAACUAGGGAUGUUAGGCAUUGGACUUUGGCACUUCUGCUUACAAAGCAUAUGCUGUACUACUGAGCUAUGACUCCACUCCACUCCUCUCAUCUCUCUUGCAUGCUUUUGAUGAAUCAGUGCGAGACCCACAUGGCUCCAGACAGCUCUCAUCAGAAGCCCACAUGAAACUCCAAAAGUGUUCUUGAUAAACACCUAACCUCACUCUGAGCAAGUUCCUCCCUGGCUAAAGAACAAAACCUCCUUCAACUGUUUAAAGAGUCUGAUUAAAUUUUUGCUAAUGGGAACAUAAAUAUUAUAAAGUAAAGUUGUCCGGGGAAAUGUAUAUUUAUUCUUUCUCUGUUUUUUGUGUGUCUGUGUAUAAACAAUAUGGCUUUUGUUUAUCUGUAGUAGUGCAGUUUGGCUGGUCUGUAGGACAUGAAAAAAAAUGCUGUUGAGAUUGUGCUUGAGGUCAGUGGUUUAGACCACAGUGACACCCACGUCCCCAUUUUACCAUUUUUUGAGUUCAUAGCUUUGUGGAUGACCAGCUAAAGUAAAUUUAAAAUCAGUAGCAGGCUAAGCAGAAGUCUUAUAGGUUUGCUUAUUUGUGCCGCUUUAAGCAUUGUUUACAAACAUGUCUCAUAUUAUUAAAUGAAAUCUGUUUCCCAAUAAAUGUGACAGAUGACUUUAA